rnacentral:lncRNA from 1 species
AUUCUUAUCCUUUCAUUUUUCAAUUAGAACUAGGUUAGAUGUUGUUCGUAUAAUCUUGUCCCACGAUAGGAAUACGAAUGAAUAGUUACAAUCUGAAAAAGGGAACAAUAUGACUUUUCACGGAUAUUAUCAUAGGAACAGAGACGACGACGAGUAUUGAGAUGAAGCGUAUUGGUAGAGAAAUGAUAACCCAGUGAUCGGAUUACGUUGUACGGGAGAGUAAUUUGGUAUUUUUGACGGAGAAUCAACACAUCGAAAGUUAGCAUUUGGCUUAUAGAACAUAUAUGUACCUCUAGCUACAUUUUCACUCUAUCUACAAUCAAUCGUUUCAAGCAACGGAUCAAUGCAUCCAACUAUUGUUAGCUUCGCAGACUCGUUCGUUUUGAAAAUGUUAUUAAGUGGUUUAAUAAAGCGUACGUUAUUAACGUUAUAAAAGAAGUGUUAUGAAGGUCUCUAUCGCAAAGCGUUCUCGUUGCCUUGGUUUCUUUUUUAGCAAGACCACAAAAGAAAUUAUUUAAAAAAGAAUAAUAAAUCAUGUCAAAGAUUAUGAACAUUUAAAAUUAUGAAAUCAUCAGAAAAAUUUCACAACGGUUUAUAAAAUCUUUGAACGACGUUUGUAAAUAAAAGGUAAGCAAGUAAUAAAGCUUUUAUUGUCGAAAUGAAGCUGGUCAGUGUAACCGGGUUAAAA